UUCCGGUUGAUCCUGCCGGACCUGACUGCUAUCGGAUUGAUACUAAGCCAUGCGAGUCUUUGCAGUAAUGCAAGGCAUACGGCUCAGUAACACGUAGUCAACUUACCCUAUGGACGAGGAUAAUCUCGGGAAACUGAGCAUAAUACUCGAUAGAUCAUAAUGCCUGGAAUGGUUUAUGGUUGAAAUGAUUCGUCGCCAUAGGAUGGGACUGCGGCCUAUCAGCUUGUUGGUGAGGUAAUGGCCCACCAAGGCGAUUACAGGUACGGGCUCUGAGAGGAGAAGCCCGGAGAUGGGUACUGAGACAAGGACCCAGGCCCUAUGGGGCGCAGCAGGCGAGAAAACUUUGCAAUGUGCGAAAGCACGACAAGGUUAAUCCGAGUGAUUUCUGCUAAAGAAAUCUUUUGCAAGUCAUAAAACCACUAGUGAAUGAGGGGUGGGCAAGUUCUGGUGUCAGCCGCCGCGGUAAAACCAGCACCUCAAGUGGUCAGGAGGAUUAUUGGGCCUAAAGCAUCCGUAGCCGGCUCUGUAAGUUUUCGGUUAAAUCCAUGUGCUCAACGCAUGGGCUGCCGAAAAUACUGCAUAGCUAGGGAGUGGGAGAGGUAGACGGUACUCGGUAGGAAGGGGUAAAAUCCUUUGAUCUAUCGAUGACCACCUGUGGCGAAGGCGGUCUACCAGAACACGUUCGACGGUGAGGGAUGAAAGCUGGGGGAGCAAACCGGAUUAGAUACCCGGGUAGUCCCAGCUGUAAACGAUGCAGACUCGAUGAUGCAUUGGCAUAUAGCCAGUGCAGUGUCGCAGGGAAGCCGUUAAGUCUGCCGCCUGGGAAGUACGUACGCAAGUAUGAAACUUAAAGGAAUUGGCGGGGGAGCACCACAAGGGGUGAAGCCUGCGGUUCAAUUGGAAUCAACGCCGGG
rnacentral:rRNA from 1 species